rnacentral:rRNA from 1 species
AGCGAACGUUGGCGGCGCGCCUAACACAUGCAAGUCGAUCGCGAAAGGACUUCGGUCCGAGUAGAGUGGCGCACGGGUGAGUAACACGUGAGUAAUCUGCCCUUAAGCUUGGGAUAACAUGCCGAAAGGCGUGCUAAUACCGAAUGAGACCACGUCCUCUGUGGAGGAUGUGAGAAAAGAUGGGGAUCCGAGAGGACCUAUCACUUGAGGAUGAGCUCGCGGCCUAUCAGCUAGUUGGCGGGGUAAUGGCCCACCAAGGCGAAGACGGGUAGCUGGUCUGAGAGGAUGAUCAGCCACACUGGAACUGAGACACGGUCCAGACUUCUACGGAAGGCAGCAGUGGGGAAUUUGCGCAAUGGGCGAAAGCCUGACGCAGCGACGCCGCGUGUGCGAUGAAGGCCUUUGGGUCGUAAAGCACUGUCGGUCGGGACGAAAUCUCAUACGAUAACACCGUAUGAGUUUGACGGUACCGGCAAAGG